rnacentral:tRNA from 1 species
GCCGCCGUAGCUCAGUGGACAGAGCGCUGGUCUUCGGAACCAGGCGUCGCGGGUUCGAGUCCUGCCGGCGGUA